AGUAAACAUGGGAUUUGUAAGUCGCUCUGGAUAAGAGCGUCUGCUAAAUGACUUAAA
rfam:Salmo salar isolate Sally breed double haploid chromosome ssa19, whole genome shotgun sequence.